rnacentral:rRNA from 1 species
GCUUGCUUCUCUUGAGAGCGGCGGACGGGUGAGUAAUGCCUAGGAAUCUGCCUGGUAGUGGGGGAUAACGUCCGGAAACGGACGCUAAUACCGCAUACGUCCUACGGGAGAAAGCAGGGGACCUUCGGGCCUUGCGCUAUCAGAUGAGCCUAGGUCGGAUUAGCUAGUUGGUGGGGUAAUGGCUCACCAAGGCGACGAUCCGUAACUGGUCUGAGAGGAUGAUCAGUCACACUGGAACUGAGACACGGUCCAGACUCCUACGGGAGGCAGCAGUGGGGAAUAUUGGACAAUGGGCGAAAGCCUGAUCCAGCCAUGCCGCGUGUGUGAAGAAGGUCUUCGGAUUGUAAAGCACUUUAAGUUGGGAGGAAGGGCAGUAAAUUAAUACUUUGCUGUUUUGACGUUACCGACAGAAUAAGCACCGGCUAACUCUGUGCCAGCAGCCGCGGUAAUACAGAGGGUGCAAGCGUUAAUCGGAAUUACUGGGCGUAAAGCGCGCGUAGGUGGUUCGUUAAGUUGGAUGUGAAAUCCCCGGGCUCAACCUGGGAACUGCAUUCAAAACUGACGAGCUAGAGUAUGGUAGAGGGUGGUGGAAUUUCCUGUGUAGCGGUGAAAUGCGUAGAUAUAGGAAGGAACACCAGUGGCGA